GACGAACGCUGGCGGCGUGCCUAAUACAUGCAAGUAGGACGCUGAAGGAGGAGCUUGCUUCUCUGGUUGAGUUGCGAACGGGUGAGUAACGCGUAGGUAACCUGCCUGGUAGCGGGGGAUAACUAUUGGAAACGAUAGCUAAUACCGCAUAAUAGCAGUUGUUGCAUGAAAACAGUUUGAAAGGUGCAAUUGCACCACUACCAGAUGGACCUGCGGUGUAUUUGCGAGGUGGGGGGGUAACGGCCCACCAAGGUCACUAUACAUAGCCGACCUGAGAGGGGGCUCAACCACACUGGGACUAGGCCACGGCCCAAGCUCCUACGGGACGCAGCCGUACGGCAUCUUCGGCAAUGGACGGAAGUCUUACCGAGCACCGCCGCGUGGGAGAAGAAGGAUCUCGGAUCGUAAAGCUCUGUUGUCAGAGAAGAACGAGUGUAAGCGUGGAACGUUCACUUUGUGACGGUAUCUUACCAGAACGCAACGGCUAACUACGUG
rnacentral:rRNA from 1 species